rnacentral:rRNA from 1 species
AUUGGGCGUAAGGGCUCGCAGGCGGUUUCUUAAGUCUGAUGUGAAAGCCCCCGGCUCAACCGGGGAGGGUCAUUGGAAACUGGGGAACUUGAGUGCAGAAGAGGAGAGUGGAAUUCCACGUGUAGCGGUGAAAUGCGUAGAGAUGUGGAGGAACACCAGUGGCGAAGGCGACUCUCUGGUCUGUAACUGACGCUGAGGAGCGAAAGCGUGGGGAGCGAACAGGAUUAGAUACCCUGGUAGUCCACGCCGUAAACGAUGAGUGCUAAGUGUUAGGGGGUUUCCGCCCCUUAGUGCUGCAGCUAACGCAUUAAGCACUCCGCCUGGGGAGUACGGUCGCAAGACUGAAACUCAAAGGAAUUGACGGGGGCCCGCACAAGCGGUGGAGCAUGUGGUUUAAUUCGAAGCAACGCGAAGAACCUUACCAGGUCUUGACAUCCUCUGACAAUCCUAGAGAUAGGACGUCCCCUUCGGGGGCAGAGUGACAGGUGGUGCAUGGUUGUCGUCAGCUCGUGUCGUGAGAUGUUGGGUUAAGUCCCGCAACGAGCGCAACCCUUGAUCUUAGUUGCCAGCAUUCAGUUGGGCACUCUAAGGUGACUGCCGGUGACAAACCGGAGGAAGGUGGGGAUGACGUCAAAUCAUCAUGCCCCUUAUGACCUGGGCUACACACGUGCUACAAUGGA